rnacentral:rRNA from 1 species
CCUACGGGAGGCAGCAGUGGGGAAUAUUGCUCAAUGGGGGAAACCCUGAUGCAGCGAAGCCGCGUGAGUGAAGACGUAUCUCGGUAUGUUAAGCUCUAUCAGCCGGGAAGCGAAUGACGCUACCUGUGUCCGAAGCCCCGGCUCACUACGGGACAGCAACCGCGGUAAUACGUGGGGGGCCAGCGUUAUCCGGAUUUACUGGGUGUAAAGGGAGCGUAGUCGGCGAAGAAAGUCUGAAGGUAAAGGCGGCGGGUCAACCGCGGAACUGCUUUGGAAACUUGUUUGCUGGAGUGCCGGAGAGGUAAGCGGAAUGCGUGGUGUAGCGGUGAAAUGCGUAGAUAUCAGGAGGAACACCAGUUGCGAAGGCGGCAUACUGGA